GAUGAACGCUGGCGGCGGGCCUAAUACAUGCAAGUCGAGCGAACAGACGAGGAGCUUGCUCCUCUGACGUUGGCGGCGGACGGGUGAGUAACACGUGGAUAACCUACCUAUAAGACUGGGAUAACUUCGGGAAACCGGAGCUAAUACCGGAUAAUAUAUUGAACCGCAUGGUUCAAUAGUGAAAGACGGUUUUGCUGUCACUUAUAGAUGGAUCCGCGCCGCAUUAGCUAGUUGGUAAGGUAACGGCUUACCAAGGCAACGAUGCGUAGCCGACCUGAGAGGGUGAUCGGCCACACUGGAACUGAGACACGGUCCAGACUCCUACGGGAGGCAGCAGUAGGGAAUCUUCCGCAAUGGGCGAAAGCUUGACGGAGCAACGCCGCGUGAGUGAUGAAGGUCUUCGGAUCGUAAAACUCUGUUAUUAGGGAAGAACAAAUGUGUAAGUAACUAUGCACGUCUUGACGGUACCUAAUCAGAAAGCCACGGCUAACUACGUG
rnacentral:rRNA from 1 species